UGAGCAAUCUGCCCUUCUCAUCGGAAUAAGCGUUGGAAACGACGUCUAAUGCCGAAUACGACCUCCUUUCGCAUGAUCGGAGGUGGAAAGCUCCGGCGGAGAAGGAUGAGCUCGCGGCCUAUCAGCUAGUUGGUGUGGGUAAUGGCCUACCAAGGCAACGACGGGUAGCUGGUCUGAGAGGAUGGCCAGCCACAUUGGGACUGAGACACCGGCCCAAACCGUCGUACGGGACGG
rnacentral:rRNA from 1 species